UACGAAGGGGGCUAGCGUUGCUCGGAAUGACUGGGCGUAAAAGGGCGCGUAGGCGGAUUGUACAGUCAGGCGUGAAAUUCCUGGGCUUAACCUGGGGGCUGCGCUUGAGACGUAUGAUCUGGAGUUCGGAAGAGGGUCGUGGAAUUCCCAGUGUAGAGGUGAAAUUCGUAGAUAUUGGGAAGAACACCGGUGGCGAAGGCGGCGACCUGGUCCUGGACUGACGCUGAGGUGCGAAAGCGUGGGGAGCAAACAGG
rnacentral:rRNA from 1 species